rnacentral:sRNA from 1 species
GUAAAAGCUUGAUAAUUGCUUGAAAUACAUUAUCAAAACGAGCACAUUCGUAACUUUCAAAUUGAAAAUAUAUAUAAUAAUUAGCUUUUUUUAAUUGAUACUAUGAAUAUGAAAAGUGGGUUCCUCUCAAUAUUUUUAAACCUAUGUUGGGAAUGUGUAAUGCAAUACGAGUUACAUGGUGUAGUAUACACGGUAUCUUACGGUAUAAACGGUGCUAUCAAUGUUAAAAUUGGAAUUUUUUAUACACUCUUAUAUUAUUAUAUUAACCUUAUGUCCACAUCAUUAUUUGGCAAUCUUACAUACAAUGUACGUGUUGAAAAUAACUUGCAUAUUGUGAACAUAUAUAUAAAUACACUAAGAACAAAAGAAAAUACAUAUUUACAUCUAUCCUUGAGAUAAAAAUUGACCAAAAAAGCAACUUUUCUUUACAUCAUAGUGCACAUGUAUGGUUGUCAUUAAAUUACAAUGAUAAGGUUAAUAUAAUCAAUGUAUGAAUAAUUUGUACAUGUAUGUUACAUGUAUGUAACCAGUAUAAUAAACAAAUGUUUGAA